rnacentral:rRNA from 1 species
AACGUAGGACGCAAGCGUUAUCCGGAGUUACUGGGCGUAAAGGGCGGGCAGGCGGUCGCUCAAGUGGGAUGUGAAAGCGCCCGGCUUAACCGGGCGAGGCCAUUCCAAACUGAGGGACUGGAGGGCAGCAGAGGCAGGCGGAAUUCCGGGUGGAGUGGUGAAAUGCGUAGAGAUCCGGAGGAACACCAGAGGCGAAGGCGGCCUGCUGGGCUGCACCUGACGCUGAGCCGCGACAGCCAGGGGAGCGAACGGGAUUAGAAACCCCAGUAGUCC